rnacentral:rRNA from 1 species
AACGAACGCUGGCGGCAUGCCUAACACAUGCAAGUCGAACGAGACCUUCGGGUCUGGUGGCGCACGGGUGCGUAACGCGUGGGAACCUGCCCAUAGGGUCGGAAUAACUCCCCGAAAGGGGUGCUAAUACCGGAUAAUGUCGUCGGACCAACGAUUUAUCGCCUUUGGAUGGGCCCGCGUUGGAUUAGCUAGUUGGUAGGGUAAAAGCCUACCAAGGCGACGAUCCAUAGCUGGUCUGAGAGGAUGAUCAGCCACACUGGGACUGAGACACGGCCCAGACUCCUACGGGAGGCAGCAGUAGGGAAUAUUGGACAAUGGGCGAAAGCCUGAUCCAGCAAUGCCGCGUGAGGGAUGAAGGCCUUAGGGUUGUAAAGCCCUUUUAGCCGGGAUGAUAUUGACAGUACCGGGAGAAUAAGCUCCGGCUAACUCCGUG